GUACAAAAUGACUCUCGACAACGGAUAUCUAGGCUCUUGCAUCGAUGAAGGACGUAGCGAAAUGCGAUACUUGGUGUGAAUUGCAGAAUCCCGUGAACCAUCGAGUCUUUGAACGCAAGUUGCGCCCGAAGCCAUUAGGCUCAGGGCACGCCUGCCUGGGUGUCACCCA
rnacentral:rRNA from 1 species